rnacentral:rRNA from 1 species
UUGAACGCUGGCGGCAGGCCUAACACAUGCAAGUCGAGCGGAUGAAGGGAGCUUGCUCCUGGAUUCAGCGGCGGACGGGUGAGUAAUGCCUAGGAAUCUGCCUGGUAGUGGGGGAUAACGUCCGGAAACGGGCGCUAAUACCGCAUACGUCCUGAGGGAGAAAGUGGGGGAUCUUCGGACCUCACGCUAUCAGAUGAGCCUAGGUCGGAUUAGCUAGUUGGUGGGGUAAAGGCCUACCAAGGCGACGAUCCGUAACUGGUCUGAGAGGAUGAUCAGUCACACUGGAACUGAGACACGGUCCAGACUCCUACGGGAGGCAGCAGUGGGGAAUAUUGGACAAUGGGCGAAAGCCUGAUCCAGCCAUGCCGCGUGUGUGAAGAAGGUCUUCGGAUUGUAAAGCACUUUAAGUUGGGAGGAAGGGCAGUAGGUUAAUACCUUGCUGUUUUGACGUUACCAACAGAAUAAGCACCGGCUAACUUCGUG